GUGGCCAAGCACAGUGUCGAUGGCGGAUCCUUGUCCAGUGAACUGCAGCAGCUGGGGCUGCCCAAAGGAACCCAAGCCCAGCCCCCACCUGCUACCUCCAGAGCUACUCCAUUCUACCCCCAGAGCACACGGCCAGCCUGUGCCACUGUUAUGAGGAGAAGCAAAGCCCCUUGCAGAAGCACUUGCGGGUCUGCAGCCUACGCAGCAAGUAUGAGGCCAGCCAGGGUCCAGGCUCCUUCUAGAAGGUGCAUGCAGCACGCAGAGUGCAUGGAGAGUCCAGGGGGAUGACUUUAACCAUGGUCACAUACCAAGCAGCUGCAGAGCUGGG
rnacentral:lncRNA from 10 species